UCAGACAUGGUGUAGUGGGAACACGGCCUCUUCUUAUAAUCCAAUGUUCGACAAUCAGAGGUCUUCCAGGGUUUGAAUCCUUGUGUCUGAA